AUGUUUUCAUUAAUCAGGAACGAAAGUUAGGGGAUCGAAGACGAUCAGAUACCGUCAUAGUCUUAACCAUAAACUAUGCCGACUAGGGAUCGGACGAUGUUACUUAUUGACUCGUUCGGCACCUUACGAGAAAUCAAAGUGCUUGGGCUCCAGGGGGAGUAUGGUCGCAAGGCUGAAACUUAAAGAGAUUGACGGAAGGGCACCACCAGGGGUGGAGCCUGCGGCUUAAUUUGACUCAACACGGGGAAACUCACCAGGUCCAGACACAAUGAGGAUUGACAGAUUGAGAGCUCUUUCUUGAUUUUGUGGGUGGUGGUGCAUGGCCGUUCUUAGUUGGUGGAGUGAUUUGUCUGCUUAAUUGCGAUAACGAACGAGACCUUAACCUGCUAAAUAGCCCGUAUUGCUUUGGCAGUACGCUGGCUUCUUAGAGGGACUAUCGGCUCAAGCCGAUGGAAGUUUGAGGCAAUAACAGGUCUGUGAUGCCCUUAGAUGUUCUGGGCCGCACGCGCGCUACACUGACGGAGCCAGCGAGUACUUCCUUGGCCGAAAGGCCCGGGUAAUCUUGUGAAACUCCGUCGUGC
rnacentral:rRNA from 1 species